rnacentral:rRNA from 1 species
UACGUAGGGGGCAAGCGUUGUCCGGAAUCAUUGGGCGUAAAGAGCGUGUAGGCGGUCCGGUCAGUCGGUUGUGAAAGUCAAGGGCUCAACCCUUGAAUGCCGGCCGAUACUGCCGGGCUAGAGUCCGGAAGAGGUGAGUGGAAUUCCUGGUGUAGCGGUGAAAUGCGCAGAUAUCAGGAGGAACACCGAUGGCGAAGGCAGGUCUCUGGGCCGAUACUGACGCUGAGGAGCGAAAGCGUGGGGAGCGAACAGG